rnacentral:rRNA from 1 species
GGGAAGUAAAAAGUCGUAACAAGGUCUCCGUUGGUGAACCAGCGGAGGGAUCAUUACUGAGUUUACGCUCUAUAACCCUUUGUGAACAUACCUAUAACUGUUGCUUCGGCGGGUAGGGUCUCCGCGACCCUCCCGGCCUCCCGCCUCCGGGCGGGUCGGCGCCCGCCGGAGGAUAACCAAACUCUGAUUUAACGACGUUUCUUCUGAGUGGUACAAGCAAAUAAUCAAAACUUUUAACAACGGAUCUCUUGGUUCUGGCAUCGAUGAAGAACGCAGCGAAAUGCGAUAAGUAAUGUGAAUUGCAGAAUUCAGUGAAUCAUCGAAUCUUUGAACGCACAUUGCGCCCGCCAGCAUUCUGGCGGGCAUGCCUGUUCGAGCGUCAUUUCAACCCUCAAGCUCUGCUUGGUGUUGGGGCCCUACAGCUGAUGUAGGCCCUCAAAGGUAGUGGCGGACCCUCCCGGAGCCUCCUUUGCGUAGUAACUUUACGUCUCGCACUGGGAUCCGGAGGGACUCUUGCCGUAAAACCCCCCAAUUUUCCAAAGGUUGACCUCGGAUCAGGUAGGAAUACCCGCUGAACUUAAGCAUAUCAAUAAGCGGAGGA